UUUUUUGCUUCAUUUUCUUCCUGCUCCUUUUUUAAAAUGUUGAUCCUGGCUCAGGACGAACGCUGGCGGCGUGCCUAAUACAUGCAAGUCGAGCGGACAGAUGGGAGCUUGCUCCCUUAUGUUAGCGGCGGACGGGUGAGUAACACGUGGGUUACCUGCCUGUAAGACUGGGAUAACUCCGGGAAACCGGGGCUAAUACCGGAUGCUUGAUUGAACCGCAUGGUUCAAUUAUAAAAGGUGGCUUUUAGCUACCACUUACAGAUGGACCCGCGGCGCAUUAGCUAGUUGGUGAGGUAACGGCUCACCAAGGCAACGAUGCGUAGCCGACCUGAGAGGGUGAUCGGCCACACUGGGACUGAGACACGGCCCAGACUCCUACGGGAGGCAGCAGUAGGGAAUCUUCCGCAAUGGACGAAAGUCUGACGGAGCAACGCCGCGUGAGUGAUGAAGGUUUUCGGAUCGUAAAACUCUGUUGUUAGGGAAGAACAAGUACCGUUCGAAUAGGGCGGUACCUGACGGUACCAACCAGAAAGCC
rnacentral:rRNA from 1 species